UUUGGUUGGUUGACUACCUUGUUACUUUUUCUUUGAGCCUCACGAUGGCCAGCGUGAACCGCGAUGUCUCUGUUGCCGUCUUAAUGGGCCGAGUUGUGAGGAAUAGAUGGGAUUGGGGAUUCUUUAUUGAGUAGUUUGUGAGCUUGCUCUGCGAGUUGCGCGAUUAAUCUGUUUCCUCGCUGCACGAGUUGAGCUGUCAAUUCGUUGCCUCUAUCGUAAGGUAUGACAGUUGAUAUAAGAUUGAUUGAGGCAAUUGCUGCGAGUGGAGUGUUGUGUUCUUGGGCUUGCACUACGUUGAAAGCUCAUUGUAGGUUCAUGAUGGGGAUGUUUGUAGCUAGUAGUUGUCGAAGUUCAGCCCAAGUAACGUUGCGUGCUCUUCUUUGGUUUCUCUAUUCAGAAAUUUCGUCUUGUGGGGCAUUAGCUGAUGAGUCAUCUUCUGAAACAUUGUCGAGUUGUCCUAUCCGUCGAGGAGUUCUCUGUUGGCUAGUACCCACGUCAUUGUUUUGUGUGAUGAUGAAAAUUUCUCUGUCUGGGUAGUAGUUUCCAGAGCUUGAUGUUGCAAUCUCUGUAGUGCUUUCUUCGUGGUUUGAAGUGAGUGGGAUGCCUUCUUGAUACGGGAG
rnacentral:lncRNA from 1 species